CCAAAGGCUCUUUUAAGAGCCACCUAAAUAGUUUUAAAAGGGCUC
rfam:Dipodomys ordii contig_70646, whole genome shotgun sequence.